UGUGAACCUGUUUGAUUUGCCUUAAGCCU
rnacentral:piRNA from 1 species